GACGAACGCUGGCGGCGUGCUUAACACAUGCAAGUCGAACGGAAAGGCCCUGCUUUUGUGGGGUGCUCGAGUGGCGAACGGGUGAGUAACACGUGAGUAACCUGCCCUUGACUUUGGGAUAACUUCAGGAAACUGGGGCUAAUACCGGAUAGGAGCUCCUGCUGCAUGGUGGGGGUUGGAAAGUUUCGGCGGUUGGGGAUGGACUCGCGGCUUAUCAGCUUGUUGGUGGGGUAGUGGCUUACCAAGGCUUUGACGGGUAGCCGGCCUGAGAGGGUGACCGGCCACAUUGGGACUGAGAUACGGCCCAGACUCCUACGGGAGGCAGGAGUGGGGAAUAUUGCACAAUGGGCGGAAGCCUGAUGCAGCAACGCCGCGUGCGGGAGGACGGCCUUCGGGUGGUAAACCGCUUUCGCCUGUGACGAAGCGUGAGUGACGGUAAUGGGUAAAGAAGCACCGGCUAACUACGU
rnacentral:rRNA from 1 species